rnacentral:rRNA from 1 species
GAUGAACGCUGGCGGCGUGCCUAAUACAUGCAAGUCGAGCGAAUGGAUUAAGAGCUUGCUCUUAUGAAGUUAGCGGCGGACGGGUGAGUAACACGUGGGUAACCUGCCCAUAAGACUGGGAUAACUCCGGGAAACCGGGGCUAAUACCGGAUAACAUUUUGAACCGCAUGGUUCGAAAUUGAAAGGCGGCUUCGGCUGUCACUUAGGGAUGGACUCGCGUCGCAUUAGCUAGUUGGUGAGGUAACGGCUCACCAAGGCAACGAUGCGUAGCCGACCUGAGAGGGUGAUCGGCCACACUGGGACUGAGACACGGCCCAGACUCCUACGGGAGGCAGCAGUAGGGAAUCUUCCGCAGUGGACGAAAGUCUGACGGAGCAACGCCGCGUGAGUGAUGAAGGCUUUCGGGUCGUAAAACUCUGUUGUUAGGGAAGAACAAGUGCUAGUUGAAUAAGCUGGCACCUUGACGGUACCUAACCAGAAAGCCACGGCUAACUACGUGCCAGCAGCCGCGGUAA